GCAGCCUGAUGCAGCAACGCCGCGUGAGGGACGACGGCCUUCGGGUUGUAAACCUCUUUUAGCAAGGAAGAAGCGAAAGUGACGGUACUUGCAGAAAAAGCGCCGGCUAACUACGUGCCAGCAGCCGCGGUAAUACGUAGGGCGCAAGCGUUAUCCGGAAUUAUUGGGCGUAAAGAGCUCGUAGGCGGUUUGUCGCGUCUGCUGUGAAAACUGGGGGCUCAACCCCCAGCCUGCAGUGGGUACGGGCAGACUAGAGUGCGGUAGGGGAGAUUGGAAUUCCUGGUGUAGCGGUGGAAUGCGCAGAUAUCAGGAGGAACACCGAUGGCGAAGGCAGAUCUCUGGGCCGUAACUGACGCUGAGGAGCGAAAGGGUGGGGAGCAAACAGGCUUAGAUACCCUGGUAGUCCACCCCGUAAACGUUGGGAACUAGUUGUGGGGUCCAUUCCACGGAUUCCGUGACGCAGCUAACGCAUUAAGUUCCCCGCCUGGGGAGUACGGCCGCAAGGCUAAAACUCAAAGGAAUUGACGGGGACCCGCACAAGCGGCGGAGCAUGCGGAUUAAUUCGAUGCAACGCGAAGAACCUUACCAAGGCUUGACAUAUACGAGAACGGGCCAGAAAUGGUCAACUCUUUGGACA
rnacentral:rRNA from 1 species